AUGGAGGUUCCCAGGUUAGGGGUUGAAUCGGAGCUGUGGCCACUGGCCUACGCCAGAGCCAGAGCCACAGCAACGCGGGACCCGAGCAGCGUCUGCAACCUACACCACAGCUCACAGCAACGCCGGAUCGUCAACCCACUAAGCAAGGGCAGGGGCCGAACCCGCAACCUCAUGGUUCCUAGUCAGAUUCGUUAACCAUUGCACCACGACGGGAACUCCCACAUCUGUUCUUAAUAUGAAUUCCUUACCAUGUUGUAAAGGAAAAAUAACAAUGAUUUAAUCAUGUGGGAACCUAAGUCAGCCUCCCAACCCAUUUUUAAACUAUCUAAAGUUUUCCAUCUAUUUUCCCUAAUGAUGGAUUUCUUUUUACUGCACACUGUUCCUUGAGAUAGUAACUAGAGAUAGUUAUUAAGUAUGUGUGUUUGUGUGUGUAUAGAUAUAGCUUGUAAAUACAUAUGUAAUAUAUAUUUUGGGAGUGCAUCCUCAGUUUUUUUUUUAAUAAUAGAUGUGUAUACUCAAAAGUACUGAGGUCACUUCAAAAGACAGAACAAGGGGCAAGAAGAAAUCAGAGAAUAAAGAUGUCAAUUCGUAAUUUCUCCUUGAUGUGUUCUGAAAUGCUGACUAAACUUAUUUCAAGAGGAGACACUAACUUAAGUAUUUACACAUUAAAGGGACCGGUUUUUUUGUUGUUGUUUUUGUUUAAAGUACCUUGUUUUGCUAACUUUGGCCCACCCAGCUCUAAAGCCAUUUUCCUAAAGUGCUUAAAAAUGCGUGAUGACACACUAGAUUCUAAGAGGAAAUGCUGAUUCAUUUAAAUAAGUGAGUAAUUUCCAUCUUGCUUAAGUAGUUUAAAUGCAAAUGAUCCAUUUUAUGCUUUGUUUUUGCGUCUUCUCUUAGAGAAAUGUGCAUAUUAUCUCCCAGGGAAAGUAGAAAAGAUUCCUUAGACAUUAACAUUUACCAGGGAGCGCACCUGCAAAGACUGUCUCUGCUCCUUUCCCACUGUACAGUUGGAAGGGACAUCAGAAAUCAGCCAUUGCAGCCUCCUCCUUAUACAGAUGGCAAGACUGAGGCAUGGCAAGAUGCCGCUACAUCAGCAAGAAUGCACCGCUCAUUAGCCUACAAAACCAGGACCAAAAUCUUCCUGACUCAUGGACCAAUUAUUCUCCAAUGAAAGGUGGCUAAAGCAGAAACACUGCGGUAUCCUUAGAGAGGAGUUUGCUCAAAAAUUUAAUUCAGAUACAAUUACUUUUCCUAAAAGGACUACCUUCCAUAGAAAUGAAAAAUAGGAAAGGAGAGAAGGACUAUUAACAAAGAAGAAAAAUAAUAACUUUAGGGUAUAAAACAGCCUCUAGAUGAGGUUUUAAAGUGAUUGUGCAACGAACAGUUUUGACAACUGAGAGCAGAGCACAUUUUCAUUCUUUGUACAGAAUCUCAGUUAUUUUCUGGAAAUGCUGGAAGCACAUUUGCAAUAGUUUCACCAGGCAUAAAGAGUGUGGUGUAUUCCACUUGUAUUAAUAUACUCCAGAACUUGCUGUCUAGAUUCCUUUUGACUUUGGUGACCUUUCUUUCCCUUUGGUAUUAGAACUUUCUCUAGUGUGAAUAGUUUAGUCUUCAAAUGCCUUUGGCACUGUAAGCAUCGGAAUUAACUAAAAACAGUGCAUUUUUCUAGGAAAUGAUUCGCCUUAAUUACAAAAGAUUUCCCAAGAGCUUCUCACCAAUCUAAUGUAAAGUUUUUUGGUUUUUGUUUUGUUUUUAAGAAAUACAGAAUCUUAAGAGAUUCUGAUUCAUUGGGUCUGGGAAGGAGCACGUUUAGGAAGCACCCAUAUGAUGCUGAUGUAUGCCAUACUUUCAAAGAUACCGCUUUGUAAGAGCCUUUCCAAGCACUUAUUUUAGAGAUAAUUCGCUUAGAGAGGGGCAGGUAGAAUGUUCCCACAACGUGUUCAGUGUGAUAACUGCUCGAUACUGUGUAGGCCGGUGAUCUGCUUAUUUAAAUGACAAUGUAGAGUCACAUUCUUCCUGUUACAAAGAAGAAUGUUUUCAAAGGUCACAAAAGUUAUGAUACAUAGCUUGAAACAGGCUACUUUAGAGCUUCCUUAACUAAAUCUAAAUUUUGAAAAACAUUUUUUGUUUGGUUUUAAAUAAUCUCCGUUUGUUAAAGAAUAAAUAACAAAUGAGCAUGUAAUAAAGAAAGCAGGCUACCUUUCAGAUAAAUCUACCACAACAUUUAUCUUGAGAUGGAAAUAAGGAACUCCUAAUUGAGAAUCCCCACCCCUGAUGCCUCCUACCACAUCCAAAAUUCCUAACGAAGCUGAUCAGGGCCCUGCGGGGCUCCCAGGCACACAAGCCUUUCUGUGUCCUCCAUUUCUUGCUUUUAGGAAAUAAGCUUCAGCCUCCAUGACCUUUGAGUUCCAAAGGGCAGGUUCAAACAAUUGCUAAUCAAGGAAGGGGAGAUAUACAGAGACCAGGAGGAAUAGUCUAGAGACCACAGUGUACCUUGGGCAGGGUCCUGGUUCCUCCUCAAGGAAUAUGGAUAACAAUAUCUUUUGAAUUCUUCAGCAGCACUAAAACCCCCAGCAAAUGGAAGAUGCUAAUUAGGCAUUCUUCGUUCCAGAAAGAAGGAUCACCAGCUUUGGAAAAACAAUGAAAGCUACCCUGAUCCUUAUCUGUGGCCCUAUUUUUCACUCCUAAAUUAUAAAACCACCUCCCAUUAUCCCCCAAGUGGGCACAAUUGUUAAGGCAUUUGAGCCUGCUGUGGCCCCUUUUGUCUGGCAAAGCAAUAAAGCUAUCUUUUCCUCCUUCGCCCAAAAUUCCUGUCUCCUCAUUUCUAUUCAGCACUGGCAGAUAAGAGUCCAAGUUUCCAGUAACACUAACAAUAUCUGUUGGUUUCUAAAUGUUAUCUAGAAGCAGGACAUGAGCCCAUCAAUGACCAUUAAUGCGUAAAUGUAGACUGACUUAUUAGAAAGCGGUAAUGAGACAAGAAACUAAUGUCUUAAUAAGAAUGCAGCCAAGUAAAGAUCUAGGUUAGAUUCUGGGUUGAGAUGCAAGGGAGAUAAAUGAAGAGAAGAGGAAGGACCUGCUAAGAGAAACUAAACUACUUCAUAAUUUUGACAUUAUGCUGACUCUCUCCCAGAGUCCCUUCAUCUUAAACAUCUAUAACAACCUGUC
rnacentral:lncRNA from 1 species